GGUGCCUGUGGAGCCUACAAGGACAGUGACAUCACAGGCAAGCCCUCCACUCAGAGCAAAGGGAGGGGUAAAGCCUCUGCUCUCUCACCCUAAGCACCAGAGCCCAGAGCUGGGAGAUGGCCAGUCUUGCCCUGUCCAAAUCUUCCAGGGACCCUCAGCUCCUCUGCUGGUUGGCCCUCUGUCUCCUGGGGGCAGGUUCAGUGGCUGCUGGAGUUACCCAGUCCCCAAGACAUGUAAUCAAAGGCCAAGGGGGGAUGGCCAUUCUGAAGUGUAACCCCAUCUCCGGACACAGAAGUGUGUACUGGUACCAGCAGGCUCUGGGACACGGCCCUCAGUUCCUCAUUGAAUAUUUUGAAAAGGAGGAGAGAGAAAAAGGGAGGGAGAGAGAAAAAGGGAGCAUCCCUGAUCGGUUCUCAGGAAAUCAGUCCAGUGACUAUAGCUCUGAACUGGCCAUGAGCGCCUUGCAGCUGGGAGACUCGGCUGUGUAUCUCUGUGCCAGCAGCUUAGACACAGCCCUGCAGGGUCAAUGGCUUUCUGUGCUCAAACCUCCCUGCCCCAGCUGA